GAUGAACGCUGGCGGCGUGCCUAAUACAUGCAAGUCGAGCGAACAGACGAGAGUGCUUGCACUCUCUGACGUUAGCGGCGGACGGGUGAGUAACACGUGUGUAACCUACCUAUAAGACUGGGAUAACUUCGGGAAACCGGAGCUAAUACCGGAUAAUAUUUAGCUUCGCAUGAAGCAAUAGUGAAAGACGGUUCUGCUGUCACUUAGAGAUGGACCCGCGGUGUAUUAGCUAGUUGGUGAGGUAUCGGCUCACCAAGGCAACGAUACAUAGCCGACCUGAGAGGGUGAUCGGCCACACUGGGACUGAGACACGGCCCAGACUCCUACGGGAGGCAGCAGUAGGGAAUCUUCCGCAAUGGACGAAAGUCUGACGGAGCAAUGCCGCGUGAGUGAAGAAGGUUUUCGGAUCGUAAAACUCUGUUGUAAGGGAAGAACAAGUACGUUAGUAACUGAACGUACCUUGACGGUACCUUACCAGAAAGCCACGGCUAACUACGUG
rnacentral:rRNA from 1 species